rnacentral:rRNA from 1 species
UACGUAGGAGGCAAGCGUUGUCCGGAAUUACUGGGUGUAAAGCGCGUGUAGGCGGCAGGCCAAGUCUGUGGUGAAAUCGCUCGGCUCAACUGGGCGGGGUCCAUGGAAACUGGUCAGCUGGAGGACGGUAGAGGUGAGUGGAAUUCCCGGUGUAGUGGUGAAAUGCGUAGAGAUCGGGAGGAACACCCGUGGCGAAGGCGGCUCACUGGGCCGGAACUGACGCUGAGGAGCGAAAGCGUGGGGAGCGAACAGG